rnacentral:rRNA from 1 species
GGGUUCCUGUCCAACGUUAAUCGGGGCAGGGUGAGUCGACCCCUAAGGCGAGGCCGAAAGGCGUAGUCGAUGGGAAACAGGUUAAUAUUCCUGUACUUGGUGUUACUGCGAAGGGGGGACGGAGAAGGCUAUGUUGGCCGGGCGACGGUUGUCCCGGUUUAAGCGUGUAGGCUGGUUUUCCAGGCAAAUCCGGAAAAUCAAGGCUGAGGCGUGAUGACGAGGCACUACGGUGCUGAAGCAACAAAUGCCCUGCUUCCAGGAAAAGCCUCUAAGCAUCAGGUAACAUCAAAUCGUACCCCAAACCGACACAGGUGGUCAGGUAGAGAAUACCAAGGCGCUUGAGAGAACUCGGGUGAAGGAACUAGGCAAAAUGGUGCCGUAACUUCGGGAGAAGGCACGCUGAUAUGUAGGUGAAGUCCCUCGCGGAUGGAGCUGAAAUCAGUCGAAGAUACCAGCUGGCUGCAACUGUUUAUUAAAAACACAGCACUGUGCAAACACGAAAGUGGACGUAUACGGUGUGACGCCUGCCCGGUGCCGGAAGGUUAAUUGAUGGGGUCAGCGCAAGCGAAGCUCUUGAUCGAAGCCCCGGUAAACGGCGGCCGUAACUAUAACGGUCCUAAGGUAGCGAAAUUCCUUGUCGGGUAAGUUCCGACCUGCACGAAUGGCGUAAUGAUGGCCAGGCUGUCUCCACCCGAGACUCAGUGAAAUUGAACUCGCUGUGAAGAUGCAGUGUACCCGCGGCAAGACGGAAAGACCCCGUGAACCUUUACUAUAGCUUGACACUGAACAUUGAGCCUUGAUGUGUAGGAUAGGUGGGAGGCUUUGAAGUGUGGACGCCAGUCUGCAUGGAGCCGACCUUGAAAUACCACCCUUUAAUGUUUGAUGUUCUAACGUGGACCCGUGAUCCGGGUUGCGGACAGUGUCUGGUGGGUAGUUUGACUGGGGCGGUCUCCUCCUAAAGAGUAACGGAGGAGCACGAAGGUUGGCUAAUCCUGGUCGGACAUCAGGAGGUUAGUGCAAUGGCAUAAGCCAGCUUGACUGCGAGCGUGACGGCGCGAGCAGGUGCGAAAGCAGGUCAUAGUGAUCCGGUGGUUCUGAAUGGAAGGGCCAUCGCUCAACGGAUAAAAGGUACUCCGGGGAUAACAGGCUGAUACCGCCCAAGAGUUCAUAUCGACGGCGGUGUUUGGCACCUCGAUGUCGGCUCAUCACAUCCUGGGGCUGAAGUAGGUCCCAAGGGUAUGGCUGUUCGCCAUUUAAAGUGGUACGCGAGCUGGGUUUAGAACGUCGUGAGACAGUUCGGUCCCUAUCUGCCGUGGGCGCUGGAGAACUGAGGGGGGCUGCUCCUAGUACGAGAGGACCGGAGUGGACGCAUCACUGGUGUUCGGGUUGUCAUGCCAAUGGCACUGCCCGGUAGCUAAAUGCGGAAGAGAUAAGUGCUGAAAGCAUCUAAGCACGAAACUUGCCCCGAGAUGAGUUCUCCCUGACCCUUUAAGGGUCCUGAAGGAACGUUGAAGACGACGACGUUGAUAGGCCGGGUGUGUAAGCGCAGCGAUGCGUUGAGCUAACCGGUACUAAUGAACCGUGAGGCUUAACCUUACAACGCCGAAGGUGUUU